rnacentral:rRNA from 1 species
GCAGUUAAAAAGCUCGUAGUUGGAUUCCUGUGGGGACGGAGCGGCCGGCCGCAACACGCGGUUCGAGCUAGCGCUUUCCCUACAUCCUGCCGCGAACCGUGCUGCCAUUAGUUUGGUGGCGCUGGGGAUCGGCUCGAUUACUUUGAGAAAAAUAGAGUGUUCAAAGCAGGCCACACGCCUUGAAUAAGUUAGCAUGGAAUAAUAACUAAGGACUUCGGUUCUAUUUUGUUGGUGUUCGGGACUGAAGAAAUGAUUGAUAGGGACAGUUGGGGCGGUCAGUAUUCCAAAGCGAGAGGUGAAAUUCUUAGACCUUCGGAAGACUAACAGCUGCGAAAGCGUUCCGCAAGGAUGUUCCCUUUGAUCAAGAACGAAAGUUGGGGGAUCGAAGACGAUCAGAUACCGUCGUAGUCUCAACUAUAAACUAUACCAGCUAGGGAUCGGCCAACGUUAUUCUAUACCGACUUGGUCGGCACCUUAUGAGAAAUCAAAGCAUCUGGGUUCCGGGGGGAGUAUGGUCGCAAGGCUGAAACUUAAAGGAAUUGACGGAAGGGCACCACCAGCCGUGGAGCCUGUGGCUUAAUUUGACUCAACACGGGAAAAACUUACCAGGUUCCAGACAUAGUAAGGGAUUGACAGAUUGAUAGCUCUUUCU